rnacentral:rRNA from 1 species
UACGUAGGGUGCAAGCGUUGUCCGGAAUUAUUGGGCGUAAAGAGCUCGUAGGCGGUUUGUCGCGUCUGCUGUGAAAUCCCGAGGCUCAGCCUCGGGUCUGCAGUGGGUACGGGCAGACUAGAGUGUGGUAGGGGAGAUUGGAAUUCCUGGUGUAGCGGUGGAAUGCGCAGAUAUCAGGAGGAACACCGAUGGCGAAGGCAGAUCUCUGGGCCAUUACUGACGCUGAGGAGCGAAAGCAUGGGGAGCGAACAGG